rnacentral:rRNA from 1 species
AUUGAACGCUGGCGGCAGGCUUAACACAUGCAAGUCGAGCGGGGUGAUGGUGCUUGCACUAUCACUUAGCGGCGGACGGGUGAGUAAUGCUUAGGAAUCUGCCUAUUAGUGGGGGACUACAUCUCGAAAGGGAUGCUAAUACCGCAUACGUCCUACGGGAGAAAGCAGGGGAUCACUUGUGACCUUGCGCUAAUAGAUGAGCCUAAGUCGGAUUAGCUAGUUGGUGGGGUAAAGGCCUACCAAGGCGACGAUCUGUAGCGGGUCUGAGAGGAUGAUCCGCCACACGGGGACUGAGACACGGCCCAGAGUCCUACGGGAGGCAGCAGUGGGGAAUAUUGGAAAAUGGGGGGAACCCUGAUCCAGCCAUGCCGCGUGUGUGAAGAAGGCCUUAUGGUUGUAAAGCACUUUAAGCGAGGAGGAGGCUCUUUUGGUUAAUACCCAAGAUGAGUGGACGUUACUCGCAGAAUAAGCACCGGCUAACUCUGUGCCAGCAGCCGCCGUAA